AAUAAACCACAAUUCUUUCUCACUCAACUUUUUGGUUGUAGGUAGGACAUGAGACACUUAGCUUUCUAUAUGAUGCAGAAGUUUGUUGACUUACGAUCAAUGGGUACCAAGCUGCAGAUAAUAUAUGCAUUUGUUGUUGGUCACAUCAAGGGUUUUGUUUUCACUAAAGCUGAUAAGCUAUGUGCUAUUGAGGAGGUGAUAUAUGCUUCCAAUGUUUACAAGUUGCUGGUUGUUAAAUUGGUACUAGUAAAGUAGCCCUUUUGGGUCAAUCGUAUUCUUAAUAACUAUUAUAUAACAUUGUUUUUCGUAGGCAUGUAAAGAACUUUGUAAUAUAGUUUUAUCCCAAGCAAACACUUGUUCCCAAAAUUGAAGCUCCUCAUUUGCUGGCUUCUCGGUCUAGAAACAGUGAAAUUGCUGUGGGUACAUGUGACUUGGCACAGGUGAUUCCUUUGCCUCUUCCCCCUAGUGACACAUCAGCUGAAAGAACAGUAUAGAUAGAUGGAACUAGUGAACAAAUUGAAGUUGCUAAACAGCUGAUGAAUGGAAGUUAUUAGUGAGGUACGUUUAAUUAGCAUUUAUCUGCAAGUUCAACUUCUAUACGCUUCAGAUUGGCAUUAAACCUCCUGCUCAGAUUGGCAUUAAAUUUUAGAAAGAUAAGAUACACCUUCUAGUUAUACAGAACAAACAAUUAGCCAUAUUUGAAGCAUCAAAGUUGGAGUGCCUUAAGCAGAAAGUGGAUUCUAAGCUUUUAUUGAAAAUCCUUGAAUGUUCAGUUUCAUGUUGAGAAACAAAAGGUUUCUUGGAAAGAGCAACAACACUAAGGAAGAAGGCAGUGUAAAUGAAAAGAGGUGGAAAAAAAGUGUCGAAACCAGCUGUUGAAGAGACUAAUGCACCACCUAAAUCUUCCUUCACCAAAUAUGAUCAAUAGUAUGAAAUAUCAGUGUUUUUUGAGUUCCAUUUGUUGAUCAUGCCAACUGCUAUGGGUUAUUGAACUGAUGUUUACUAAGUUUAGCUUCAUUAUGGAUGUAUGUAUAGCUGUAGUAACAGAUUAAUCAAAUAUUGGUAUUAUUGUGAAUGGAUUCCAUAUUUGAUGAAUGCA